rnacentral:ncRNA from 2 species
UAUUGUUAAAUGCAAUUCAGUUCUGGUGGGGAACAGCCAUCAGGCGUAAGGGGGAAAGAGCAGUGCAAAUCUGCCGCUGUCCCGCAGUUGUGAGGAGAGGCGCAACUCUCCGAGUCAAGAAUGUCCGCCGAUUGGUCAACCCGUGA